CCCCUGAUAGCUCAACGGUUGAACUUUUUGGUUUCACAAGAACAAAAAGUUUCGAGAAAGAGCGCGCGGCUGUAGACCGCGAGGUUCUGGGUUCAAAUCCCAGUCGGGGGA
rnacentral:tRNA from 1 species